UUCUUUUUUUGUGUCUAUUGUAGAUGUAAUAAAACGUAGGGAAAUAGAGGACUGAAGUGUGAGACAGACCGAAAUACUAGAACGCACUCAUCAAAAUAUUUUGAAGCAAGUAUUAAUGAAAAAUAAGACGUCCUUCGAAUUAAAACGUAUUGCUUAUCUCUGUUUGUAGCACACGUGUCGACAUUGUCGCUGAUAUAUAUCAUAAUUUGACAUUUACUUAUGUACUCCCUCCGAUCCAUAAGUGUCGGGAAGAUUUAGUACAAAGUUAGGAGUAUAACUUUGUACUAAAUCCCCGAUGCUUAUUAUGGAUCCGAGGGGUAUCUAACUAUGUUUAGAAGAAAAGAAUAUAUUUUUAUGUUUGUAACUAACUUUGUACUAAAUCCCCGAUGCUUAUUAUGAAUCCGAGGGGUAUCUAACUAUGUUUAGAAGAAAAGAAUAUAUUUUUAUGUUUGUAGGUAUCGCUCCCCUUGCACGUGUGAAUAGUUUUAUUACACCGAGACAUGUAUGGUUCAUAGCCCAAUUUUAUCGCACUUCCACACAAAACAUGGUGAAAAAACUUAGUGGCCACACUAUUACAGAAUUUAGCCAAGGCACAAAUCUAUGACAUGUCACAACCGCAACACUAAAAUAAAUUGUUACAUUUGUGGCAAAGUUCCGUGAAGCGUAGCUUGAAACUAUAUCAGGGCAUGACGCAAAGGUGUGCUGCGACAAAGUUCCUGGCCAACGACUGCUCCUUAGCCCUGUCCAUGUUUUAAUGCAGGAGCACGGUGUGACAAACACCAUGAGCUAGCUAGCCACACUUAUGGUCAUGCACGCCAUGGCGUCUGACAAUGAGACAACAGAACGAGGGAGUAGUAUGUAUAUAUACAUAGGAGGACAAGAGAAAUUUCUACGCGGGACUCAUCCCAAGAGUCUCCACGAAGCAGAUCGAGCGCGCGGAAUUUCUGGUUAAGUUCGACGAAGCAGAGCAAACGAGGGCCACGAAACGGUCCACCAUAUCAAAGUACGUUUGGAGAAUCCAGAUCUCGGAAUGCAACAAUGCAAGUGAAGGCAGAGUACGUGAUACGGGGACCAGCUAGUGAUGAUGAUAGUCCGCGACGGGACCUUUUCUUCUCCGGCUCGCCGGCGCGCCCCCGGAACUGCCGCCCCCAUCCUUUCCUCUCGCCCACGCCGCUGUGGUGACCGGGCGCGCGCGGAGCCAAGGCGAGCCCGAGCAUGUGUUACGCCGAAGAGAAAAGUCACCCACCGGAAAAGCGAACGAAGAUGCACCGCGAAGAGAAAGAGAGGGAAAAAAAAAAAGAGAGAGUUGGCGAGCGAGCGAGCGAGCGGGCACACUAGCCGACACGCACAGCGCGCCGAGGACAAGGACGCGCCCUCCCAUGAUCCCAUCCCCCACUCAGCCAAUCUCGCCUUGUCCGCCUCGCUCUCUCUCGACGCACACGGGAAAGACCGGGAAAAGAGAAGAGAAGAUAAAGAGACGAGAGUCACGACCCGAACGGACACGAGUGGCCGGUGCGAGACAUCGUGACUCUAGAUACAGCGCACGUAUCGUGUCGCGGUUGUGUGUGACACAGAAGAGAGCGACGGGUCUCGUUCCAUCUCGUCUGCGUCCUCGCUUCGGCUUUCCACGGAGGAGCGUGGGGGUGGGGUUGGGGCCCAGGUGCUCGCGGCACGGCACGGGUGUUUCUUGCGUGGGUGCGGAUCUCUCUGGAAAGCAAAGAGGCACGGCUCGAGAUCGAAAGCACUGCGUACGGGUGCGAGAUACCGCGCAGCGGGAGAAAGGCGUCAUCGAUCUGGAUACUGGGCCGAUAAAUGCAGGAGAAAUCGCCCGGUUGGUGUAAUAGACCAAAGCCAGACGGGAAAAAAAACGCAUUUGUUUUUUUGUUUUUUGUUUUGGGGGACUGGCGAUCGGAGAAGACGUGGACGGGGGGAGGGAGCGAUAGGCACGACACGACCGGAUUGGUGGUGGCACAAGGAGUAGUGUUCGUGGGUGAGCCGAUCGGGGUUGGGCUGGGGUCGAACAGGUCGCCAGCUGCCACGAAGCUUUUAUUGUUUUCUUUGUUUCUUUUUUUUCUCGACCGCGCUGGGGAAGAAACUUUCUCUGUCUGUGUGUUUGUGUGUGGGAGGGAGGGAAAAAGAUUCGUUUUGGACGUCGGACAAACGCUGCGGCAGUAGCAGGGUACAGUCACCUGCGGUGAGCCUGAGUGAGACAACACCUCGCAUGCGACCGCAGAGAGCCAGAACCGCUCUCUUUCAUCAGUAUCUCUGGAACUAAUGGCUCCACUUGAUGCGUCUCGUCAUAAUUUCUUAUCCCCUUGGAGAGGAGUGGGCCACCGGCAGGCCAACCGGUUUAGUAAUGGCCACUUCAUAUCUCUCUCUCUCCCCCCCAAGUGGCCCCCUCCCAGGGAUCUCUAGAAAAGAUUUUUGUUCCAUUUUUCUUGGCAAAACAAAAUCUCAAUAUAUAUAUAUGCUGCAUGCGACUCGUGCACCGAAAGUAUACAAUUUCUAAAGAAAGAAUAGUCGCGACUUUUCCGUGACUUAUGCAAUAUGCAUGCCGUAUCGGACCUAAAGCUUAAUUGGGUUGCUUACUCGAUCUCGGCCUGUCCCCCACCAAUUAUCCCGUCUGGCGCGCGCGCCUUGCAUGCAAAUUCGCAUGACAAAUUGAUCGAACAGAUGCACGUACGGUUCUCAGGCACAAAUUAAGUUGCCAGCUUUACGUCUAAGCAACCACUCAGUGAAUUAUGUGUCAUACUACCAUGUUUUUUGCAUGCUGAUUAAAUUCAGAGAGAAAAGCUAAAAACUAACUAAAUAAAGGAAACGCUGAUAUGCUUGGAGUAAGCCAGAGGCCCAUACGGAAAGCAUGCAUGUGACGAGCGCGUGCCAUACCACUUUCGCCAUGCCCCUCACUCACUCGCUCCAACGUCAAUUCAGCCAUCUUCUCCGGCCGGAGUGGUGCACAAACCAUGUAAAGUCCGGAAUUAAUUUUGUCUAGGGGAAACUUUUUCAGGAAUCCUCAGCUAGCUAAACUUUGUGCUGUUGCGGUCUCACAUGCCACUGUGCCAGGAUCGAACAAAUGCUCGCAUAAAUAAAUUCCAUCGAAGUGUAAAAUAUUUGCCACUAGCGCUACUAGGUUCAGCAAUAGAGUAAGGUAUAGCUCAGCCCAGCUGCGACUACAAGCUGGCACAUUUGACCGGCCCGAUAGGUAAAACAGCUGCCAGCUUGUUUGUUCUAACGCCGACGUCACGAUGCAUGUGUGUGGUCGCUUGAGUACAUAUCUGGGUUGCCCUGAAAGUGAGAUCACCAAGCUAGCGAAGACGAGAUCUUACAACCGGAAGACUAAAAUUACUAGAAAAAAACCCGUGCGUUGCUGCGGAACAAUAAAAAAUUAUACCAAAAUAUUAAAUUAAAUGUUGAUGUGUCACAGGAACACACACACACAUAUAUAUAUAGCGAUUAUGAUAUGUUUAUUUUCGUGAGCUAUACUCUGUUUUCUUUCUCUUUUUCACAUGUUUUAUUUCCAUACUAGUAAAAAGCCCGUGCUUUGCUGCGAAAGAAGACUUUUAAAAAAAACAUGCUAUAGGUUAAUUUUCAAAUAGUGGCGUCUUUUACAUUGCUGCUCUAUUUCCACGAGAAGUCAAGGCAGAGGCACCCUCUUCUCGGACUUCUCUUUCUCGUUUUCUCCCAUACCACCCGUUGGUCUCAAUUCUGCCUUUGGCUUCAUCAACUUACCAUUGCUCCACUCUACUUUGUGUUGAUCUUGAUUCUGGAUUCCAUCAUCUCUUAUAGCACAUUAAUUGUCUAGUAUGAUAUGAAUAGAAAUAGAAACAUUCUUACCGCAUUUAACAGAAACAAGCUGAGGCAAGCUGCUUAGGGUUUUUGCUCGGCACGUAUCUCCCAUGCAGACCAAGGCACCUGUGGCAUCCCCUUGAGUAUAAAAGGAGGACUAACGUCACCGGUCAAGGGGUUCCCGUCUUUAGCCCAGAAGUAGCAAGUAGUCACUUAGCAGAAAGGAAGAGAGCGCCCGGGGACUCCGCCUGCAACCUGUAAAGCACUUGUUUUUUGGCUAAUAAACACUCAGAAGCAGGACGUAGGGUUUUACACCUCCGCGUGGCCCGAACCUGGGUAAACAGGCUUGUGCAUUGCUACGCUCGUCAUUGGCCUCGCCAGUGAUCGCCGGAGCGAUCCCCAACGCCCCCUGCCGAACCGAAAAGGGGGUGCCACUGAUGUCUAAGCCCUGGGCUACAACAUCUGGGGCGCCAGGUAGGGGCAUCCCCGGUGUCUAAGCCCCGGGCUACGACAUCUGUAGCGAUCCCGCCAGCUGUCGUUGCUCGCCAGCAGCUCGGUGGGCGCGUGGAUGAACUCGUCGGGCUCGUCCACGCGAACCCAACACUAGUCCGCACGCCACUCCUUCUCGAUCUUCUUCUCCGUCCGCACGAUGAACUCCGAUUUCAUCUUGUCGCGGGCGUGGAACACCACCCCUGACGACAUCGCACCCGAUUGCUCGACGCGCGGGUAGAAGUAGUGGCGGAAUAACGCCACUGACGGCAUCACUCCGACAAACCCCUCGCAAAGAAAUUGGAAGACGGAAAGGAGGAAGAGAGAUGUGGGGUGGAGCUGCGCAACCCUGAGCUGGUACGCCGCCAUAAGAGCCUGGAGGAAGAAGGAGUAUGGAGGUACCAGCCCAGCGAGGAUGAAGCGGGCAAACACCCGAAAGUCGUUGUCCUGGUGGUCGCCGCCGGCUGGGAAAAUGAGCGUCUCGCCGUACUCGUUGAAUGAGGUGGCGACGGCGUGCCGAAUCUUGUCGACCCCCUCGCCGUUGUAGCCGGGCUUGAAGAAGGCCCGCUUGGCCCUCAACUCCCGGUUCCUCUGAUCCUUCUCCGAGAGGGGCUUCUUGGGGGCCUUCUCGCCCUUGUCGACCGCAGAGCUUUUGGAACCCUUCCCUCUCUUGAGGGCCGUAGGCGCCAUGAGGAAUGUGGGCGGAACAAGCUUCGGACAUUUAUUUAACAAAUGGGCUAGAUGGCGGCUCGGCUGGCUUGGGCUAGGGUUGCGAGGCUACUGCUUGGGCCGGAAGGUGGAGAUGGGCCAAGGGUAGAUGGGGUUGGUGGGCCUGAAGGGGGCUCGGGGUUGCUGCCCGGCGCUGGAGGGCAGCGGCGCACCGGGAGCAUAGGCGGGGGAGCGAGGCAGAGGGGAGGUUGAAGGCGCGGGAGCAAGGGGAGGCAGCGUCGGCGAGGUUAACGGCGAGAGCAGCACGCGAGGGUGCUGGGCUGGGACGGUGACUGGAACUUGGCGACAACGCUGGCAGAUUGCAGCAGCGAGGGAGAGGAGAAGAGGGCGUGACGAGUAAUGAAGGCAGGAGCGCCAGAGUGUGUGUGUGUGUGUGUGUGUGUGUGUGUGUGUGUGUGUGUGCGCGUGUGUGAGAGAGAGGGGGGGGGGAGGGAGGCGGCUGGACAGAGGAGAUCGGGAGGGAGAAAGGAGCUCGAGAGGAGAGAUGAAGGAGCACAUGGGAUACCGGGUAGGACCGGUUGCGUGGUUGGGUGGACGGGCAGGACAAGAAGAGGGGACGAGAGCAAUAGGGAUAGGGUUUGAGGAAGCCCGCAUCGGCUAGGGCUCAGGGGUUAGACGGAUGUUUUUCGGGACCGAGGAUGAACGGUGGCAUAUUGAGCGUAAUUUUAAUGAAGUGACGGGACCGAGGAUGUGCGGUGGCAUGGUAUCAUCACCACCAACUCCAAUUUAAUAUAUUGGUAUAGAUUUCUCCUUGUCCUGCUAUCCUAUUACUCAUAUUCCGUACUUUAUUUCUCAAAUCUCUUCUCCAAUUUCUUGCUCUCUCUCUGACUAUCCUCUCCAUCCAUCUUAAGUGCAAACUUCUCCUCUCCCUGUCCCGAUUCAUCCCGCCACCGAACAUCACGCCGCAAUGCGCGGCCACCCGCUUGUGCGCACCGCCUCUGCCCGUAGAUUCCCGCCGUCCGUCCACUCCCGCGUGCCGUCUGCUCCCACUUUCCGCCAGGUACGCCUCUGCGCCGCCCGCCUGCGCCCUCUAGCAACCUUGCCCGCCUGUUCGCCGCGCCCGCGCGCCGCCCAAACAUCGCGUCCAGCACCCAUGGCUCGCGGUGACGCGGUCCCUGCUGCCUUGCACGAGGCCACCGCCAUCCCGGCCUCAGGCUCAUCCCAUCACCGUCCAAGUCACGCGGUGAGCCACCGACAGCACGAGCCGGUGGAGGCGGUGGUCGGAGCGAGCGACGGAGCCGCGGGUCCGCAGCCGCCUUCCGCACACGGACGCCACCAACGCGCACGAGCUGGUGGAGGCGACCAAGAGCGGCGACGGGCGCGGGCGAGAUCCGAAGGGCGGCGGCGAGAUCCGGAUCAAGCAGGAGGUGGGGGUGAGAUUCAUAGGAGGAGGAGGAGCGAGAAGUGCUCUGUCGGUUUUUUUUUGGCGGUACGUGUUUUUUUCACGCUUAAAAGAUGACUGUGGGAGCCGGGAUUAAAAGACACGUGAGGACAGCGGUGACAGAUUCAUAAUUUCGGUGAAAUGACGUACCGCGACGCCCGUACCAUCACCACCAACUUUAAUUUAAUAUAUUGGUACAGACACAGAGUACUUUUACCAGUAAAAUUCAUUUUCGUUCCAAGGGAGCCGUCCGGCCGGAUAUUGGCGAUAUGGCUGACCGGGCCGACCCCAUUGUCUAUCUUAUCGGGGUUGGUGAUUGCAAGAAGCGUGGACCAAUCAGCUAGCAGUCCAGUCCCGACGGCGAAACCCAUCCAAGCUGCCAGCACGCAUACGUGGUCACGUCAGGUUGUGCGUAUACGUACGACUAGUCGACGGCGUCGUUAACGUUGGGGAUAGCUAGCUAGAGAGGCCGGAUCGAUGGAGAGCGACAGGGGACUCUGUCUGGCUUAAGCUCCUCCGAUCCUCUCGUGCGCGUGGAUCCAGAAACGGGCGAGUGCGACGGCCGAUCCACCGCUCAAAAUCAUUUAUACACGCUUCAAUUAAUUUAGUGACGGCCAAGACUGCUCGGCCGAUUUUUUUAAUUUUGCCGACUAGUAGCUGUCACGUGUUUAUGUCAAAUCGGAAACGGUAGUCAGACGGACUCCAUUUAGUUUUACUCCUUGGUCCUUUCCGUGAAACUACUAAUGAUGCACAGUUCAAUUUGUUUUUCGAAAAAAUAUUUACUACCAAUAUGUUUACUUUGUGACCACAGAAACACGGAUCAAAAGAGGUUUUUAACUGUGCCCUCGAAACAAGGAAAGACUAAUGAGCUUAAUUUCUUUCGGUAAGAUUAAAGGUAAAUAUGCCUUGGAAAAAAAUUAAAUUAAGGUGAAUACGGGAAAAGUGUUUGACAUGUGUGUUCGGAUUAUCUGAACUUAUUCGUGUCGGAGGAAGUAACUUAAUCGUCUGUACAGUGUCUCUAAUAAACGUACUGUACUUCGUAUGAAUUCUCUAUUCUGCCGUGAGUUGGGCGUGCACCAAACAUCACUGAUCGCUAGCUGCCCGGGAAUGGAGAAGUGUCACCAUCACGUAUGCUGUGGUCAUGGCCUAGGCAGUGAUCGGCCGGAGAUUGAUCGGGUAACUCAAAACAUGUUGUUUUCACGGAUACGUGUGGACACGAUGGUAUUAGAGCAAGGUUCAUAAGAGGUCAUCAAACUCUAAUCAUAUAGGUCAUAUUUUCUAAAAUAAUCUUUUAGAUCGUCCUUUGGAGUAUAUAUUUUUUUAAAUAUUUCUAGUCCACUUGAUUUGAAUCUAAAUCUACUUUGAGAAUUUUGAUGACAAUCUUCAAAGUUUCGGGAUAUAUGCAAAGACAUCCAAAUAGUUCGAGGAUCUCACGUAAUGCAGCAUCUCUUUUUAGGGAAAUGAAACGUAGUACUCUAUCCGUCUCAUUAAAUGCCGCAACUUUGAUUAGAUACGCACGUAUCUAGACGCGUUAUAAUGUGUAGAUACAUACAUAUCUACAAAUUUGCAACACUUAAUAUGGGAUGGAGUGAGAGUUAGUACCUGGUAAACUAUACAAUUAGUCUUUAAGCAUGUCCAGUAGUCCCCUCCUCCUUUUCUUCGAUUUUUUGCUACAAAUUUCUGGUUUUAGCUUUCAGAAAAUCUGAGGAGCAUAUGUUCUUUAUCUUAGCAUGCGACUAAUUUUCUUCUGUCCGAUCUAGCAGAUGGACAUUGUUUCUUUGUGCUCAUGCUCUUACUUGAUCGAGAUGGUACACGCUACAACAAUCGAGCGUACCCCGGUCCCCAAUAGCGAUUUCAAAGCUAAUUACUUCAAGGAAAAACUUCUAUUGAGGAGAUUAGUCAAGAAAUUACUUCAAGGAACAACUUCUAUUGAGGAGAUUAGUAGAACACUACAUGUAAGGCAUGUCCACAUUUUGUCAAAUCUUGCCUCAAGUGGGGCAGCUAAGUUAGGCUAGUGUUUAUUUGACAUCAACAAGUGUGACAUGGCUCACUUUUUUAGCAGUCUGCACCACAUGUCACACAUUCAUACUGUUACCAAAGUUUGCCUAACUUGUGCAAGCAAAUUCUGCACCACAUUUUUUAUGCCUCGCCACAAGCCCACAACUUAUCAACCCGUAGUCAGCCACACUCUCGCCAACAUCGGCAACACUGAUUUCCGCACUGCCGUCUGGAUCCUUUUUGUCAGGGACGACUGUAUUUCAGUUCCUAAUCAACAUACCUUUCUAAAAAAAUGGACGGAUUUAAGAGCAGAAGUUAUGAACGUUAUGACAUUAGCACUCGUUCUAUAGUUCACAGGAACAAAAUUGCGUCUGAAAAAGAAAAGAAUCAUUGCAAUCAGAUGGUGCAACAGAACGGAGAACGAGACAUCCAUCUGCUGAACUGAUAGAAACGGCGCAACAACCGACCGAAUCCACCCUGCAGCGGUACCAUGUACCAUGCAUCAUGCAUGUACUUUCAUGUGAUUUGUCUUUCCUGAUCAAUUGCGACAUGGUAAUGAAUAACAAUCAAUUGGAUAUUUCAAGAAUAAUAUAAUUGCCACACGCAAAAUCAUGAAGAAACUCACAACAACUUUUGUUUGAGCAGCCACAGAGAUCACUUCCGUGGCAGUAAACCAUAACAAGAACUAGGCAGACCAUUUUCGUCAAAAAAAACUAGGCAGACCACAACUGCCAUGGAUACCAUUCCAUCAAGAUUAUCCCAGAUCAUGCAUGUCAAAGAAAGAAUUAUAACAUAAUAACAAAUAAUGAUACAAUGUACCAGGGGGUAGAACUAAACAUAGCACAUUCUGUCUCUGUUCCACACUUCCAUUUACCGGACUGUAACUACAAAAAUCAGUGAGCAAGAUAAUAACCAACAUGAAUACAAAAUCAAUCGACUGCAUACUUGGGCUUAGUUUCCCAUAACACCUUCUGCUCCAGCUGGCCCUUUGCCCAUCCAGUACUUGUAAGCAUAAACUGAAGACACGACCAGGGCGGCCAGGGCGAUGUAGACGAUCAUGGUCGGCCCGAUUUUAGUAGGGCUCUUCUUCUGCUUGCUCUGUGCCAGUAGUGCUCUUGGCUUGAUCUUCGCCAUGUUUCACUUCGGACAAUGCCAAGAAAAUAACUAGAAUCAGCAUAGUUGCAUAGGAAUUUUCUGUAAAGCACUGCUAUGAUUUCGGCAUUUCGCUGAACAGUUAUAAAACAUAGAAGGAUUUCAAUUGUACAUCAAACGUAAGUAAAACUGGACUAUAAGCUUAUGAACCGCGGGACAUGCAAGAUCAAUCAGCCAGGCAGGCACCAGGUCGUACAAAAAACUUAUAAACAUGCUAUUAGGGUGAUAUGGCACAUUUGCAUCCUCCAUGCGUCAAAACAAUGUAGUACUUUCUUUCUUGAUAGGAAAUCAAAACAAUGUACUGGUAACAUUUAACAGUUAAACAAGCAAAAUCAGAGUUCAUGCCAGUAGAUCCAUUCGUUAGGUUUAUUAGGCGAAGGAAUUAUUGAAAAGAAAGUACAGAAACUGAUGUUGUCAGGUCGAUUGCAGUUGCAGGUGUCAUCUGCUCCGGCUUAAAAUCAAAAUAAUAGAAGAGCCUGGUAGUAUUCAGAUCAGGGUCAUGGAAGUCCAUGCCUGAAUGGAAGCCAUGAGUGAUGGGUCCUGCACUUGAGGAACAGGGAUCGAAAACAGUGGCACGAAUUUCGGAGUUCGUCCAUCCAUGUCUCGAGCUUCGUUGUCUGAAGAACCCCACUCUUUUUGCAACGGCAGUACAAUUACACGCAGAAAUCGACAUUACUCACUGAAACCUAGACGGAAAACCGGGAUCUACCGCGGACAAUUAAGUAGCCGGAGGCGAUCCACUAGAACAAUUCGAGAUCCAGAAUUGCUCCACAGCAGCCGGAACCGAAAUAUUCAUUUGGCCGUGGCAGAAGGAAUCGGCGAUAGCAAGGAGAGUGCGGUCUCGGGAAUACCUUGAUCUCUGCACCGGCCGGGGAGUUCUCGCGAUCUGCUGCCGCGCUGAGGAGAUGGAGGUGGCGUCGGAGCGAUCUCGAGAGAGAGGGGAGUCCAGGCGAGGAUGACGAGGAUGCAAGCAAGGCUGUGCUGCGUCGUCUUUUGAAGGGGAAAAAAUAGGAAGGGGAGGAGAGCGUGGCCGGGGGUGUAGUUUGGCGCGGCAGGCAAGGGCACUACGGGAAACCAAAUUUUGAGGCGUGAAUGUCUGCACGUUACACGGGAUGUUUUUGACGACAAGAAGAAAAAUAUUAGUGCGCCCGCGCAAACCACACCAAAUAUUCCCUUAUUUUGACGUCGUCAAGAACUGUAUGCUACUGGCAAUCACGUCUAUCAGGACAUGCAAAUCGAUCUCGUCAAUCAGGACAAUUCCAAAAUUUGCCGUCCUGAUUAGUCAUAGCUAUCACGCCGCCGCGAUCCUCUCCUCGUCGUCGAACGUGCUGUGUUCCGCCUGCGUCACAAGUUCAAACAUGAAGCAUGUCAUCGCCCCCCAUCGUCUUCUCCUGCGAGCGUGUCGACGUGGUGCGAUGGCUUGCACGAUGACUCCGGCGACAUGGAAGGCUUCGGUUCAGAAGAGUGGGCCCAACGGGGUCGGACGACUUCGAGAUUUCGCUGUCCUCGAAUAUCGUCUUGUACCCAGAGUCUGAUGAUUUUGUAUGUCUUGCGGGUACUAAUUUUCGGUGUCUUGUUCUCGGAAAAAAACCCCCACUAAUUUUGGGGUUUGGAUCGGGCUGUGGAUCUGCACUAGAAGUUCAUGCCCGAUUCAUGCUGGUAGACAUGUGUUGCUGGAAUGAUAAAAUGAUUCCAAAACUCAUAAUUGUGGAUCUCUAAUUAAUUGCUGUUGGGUUAUUGAUCUUCCACAAUGUCAAGGUGAAUUUCCAGCACGCACGGAGUACAACUCAAGGUGAAUUUCGGCCACAAUGUUACCUUGCACCAUACGUGCUGCAUAGUGCAGCCAAGCGCGCACGCCUCUACGAAGCAAAUCAAGACAUCAAGCAAUGGUGAUUGAUUGUGUUGUGUGUGGAACUCGCCGCGGAGGCGAGGUAAUUGCAAGCGUCGUCCAGGAGUUCUAUCUUCCGAUGGCAUGGGCACGUGCUAUAUCCAGAAGCAAAGCAAGCAGUAUUAUUAACUGAGUGUGAAUCUAUAAGGUCACAACAAUUUCACAACCCACGUCCUAAUUUACUUACAAAUUUGGUCAAAUUUUAAGAAAUUUGACUUAGACAAGACUAGAGCAUGUUAUAUUUGGUUUAGCUCUCUUUCAAACAAACAAAUAUUGGAGUAACUAGGUUUGCACCCAAAUUUUCACCUUACAAAAAGAAGAGAAGGAAUACAUCGAUCGCAUAUUUCCACCCAUCCAAACUAAUGAAACUACUAUGCAGGAGCACGGUGAUUCGCACGUCAUUCAUUUCUUGAUCAAGUCGGCGGUGAAGGUGACGCCGGUGGACGGCAGCCACGCGAUCCCAUCGAUGAACCGCCGCACGGUGAAUCGGCCGGCCCACGCCGGGUCAAAGAUCACGUGGUACCCAGGCCACCUGACCCUCCCGGCGACCCCGGCCCCGGGCCCGAAGUUCCUGUACUCCCCAUAGAACACCGUCCCCAGCCCGGCAUUCCCGGCCCACUCCAACCACCCUUGCGCGCGCACGCCGGGGCCCAGGUAGGAUUCCAUGACGACCACCCGCGAGAAGGGCCUCCAGGGCCGGCCCAGGUAGGUCGGGUGCUGGGCCUGCACGACGCAGUUGUGGAGCGCGAACCCCGUGCUCUGGUUCGGGUCCUUGCGGCCCUGCGCCGUGACCGUGCCCGCCGUCUGGCCCGGGGCCAGCGGCAGCGUGGCGAGCAGCGUCCGCUGGAUGACCGCCGCGGCGUUGCCGAAGACGAAGUCGACGGUGCCGGAGACGCGGCAGUCGCGGUAGAACUGGCGGAGCGAGUGCGCGUAGAGCGUGUCCUGGUGGCCCUCGAGUGCCACGCGGUAGAAGGCGGACCGGUCCGAGUCCACCCGCAGCGCCACCGCCUGCCGCGCCCCCGGCCCCGCCGUGUUCCGGAUCGUCAGGUCCCGCGCCAGGAACCCCGCGCCCGACACCGCUGCACGCAAAGCAAAAAUACCAGAUUUUGUCACAAGUUGCACGUGCAUCUCGCUUGGAAUUUACUCUCGGCACCGCGCGGUUCUUUUACGUACCGACGGUGGCGCUGCGGAAGGUGGUCCAGCCGGAAGAGAAGCUGCGGCUGCCGGUGAUGACGGUCUCGCCCAUGCCCUCGCCGACGAGCGCCAGGUUGGUCUUCUUCUUGGUCACGUCCACGUUCUCGUGGUACACGCCGCGCUUCACGUAGAUGACGUACCUGCGUCGGCUGUGGCUCGGCGCGCGCGCCACGGCCUCGCCCACGGUCCGGUACCUGCCGCUCCCGUCCUGCGCCACAACGACAUCCACCCGCAUCGCCUUCUUCUUCUUCCCGCUAGACCCGCCGUGGGCGCGCGCCAGCUCCUCGUCGACGCUGUCCGUCACCCACGGCGGCAGCUCAUCAGCCGUGCUGUUCUUGCCGUGUUGGUGCAGAGGCAUGAUGCUGCGGAGCCGCUGGUGCAUGGCGAGGAGGUUGCCGACGAGCUGCGUGAGCCGCGCCACGGACGCCUCGACGGGGCGCAGCAGGCGGCCGUCCUUGGUGCCGUGGAAGCCCUGCACGCAGGUGUCCUGGUUGCCCAGCGCCGCGCUCAGCCACGCGUGCAGGCUCUCCUCGGCGGCCAUCGAUGCCGCCGAACGGGCACGCUCGUGCUGCUCCUUCUCUUCCGUCUCCGCGUCGACGACGGAGGCGUCGUCGGCCAUGGCGUCGAGCGACCACCCGAGCUCGUCCACGGAGUAACCCAGCAGCUCCACGCAGUCGCGCACGGCCAUCUCCUCGCGCGCGUGGUUGGACAGCGACGCCAGCCCGGCCACGGCCUCCGCGGCGCCCACGGCCUCGCCGAGCGUGUCGCGGAGCGCGGCGCGCAGGACCGGCACGGGCCCACUGCCUGCGCCGCCGCGCGCCGUAUCGAGGCGCGACACGCAGCCCUGCUCGCCCCCGGACGAGGAGGAGACGUUGAAGCACGCCUGGCGAAGCAGCGCGGCCUCGAAGGCCUCGGCCUCGCCCGGGCCGCGGAACGUGUACAGCCCGGAGAACGCCGCGGCGCCAUCGCUGCCGCGGGCAACAAGCUGGAGCGCCAGCAGCAGCACUACCAGCACUAGGCAGCAGGUGUCUUUACUGCCACGUGUCGUGAACGACGCCAUUGAUUGAUAGAGGGGGCGAAGUGCAUCGCCAUGGCCAAGGGACGUGCGUAUAUAGAUGGAUGCGCUCAGUGUAAGUGAUCUUAUCUGUCUUGGCGCAACCGGAGGCAAGGUAUAGUUUCUCGUGGAAGAAAGGUGUGCGAGGAUACAGGUCUUUAUGAACUACAGUAAUAUUCUAACUACUGUACACGGUCUUGAGGAAAAAGUGUGUUUCGAGCCGAAUGAUUGGCUCCGUUACACAGAUUAAUUAAGCCAUAGAGUGCAUUCGCCCCUUUUCGAUGGAACACACUUCACUGCGUAACAUGUGUAAGUUGAUCAUAAUAUAUUCCGAUUAGGCCGGCUCGGUGUUGCGAGUGUCGGCAGAUACUUGGAAAACUGCUUGGAAGCAAGCAAAUAUGCAACGCGAAGACUUCUCCAAAUUGGGGUGAUGACUCGAGCAUGCAGAUUGUGCCAUGCUUCUCGUGCAAUUUAUCGUAGUCGCGGCAGCUGCACCGGCGCUGGACGCACGGACACUCAAGGUGGUGGAUUCGCGUGUUUUGCUUGGCGAUGCAGGCUCUUCGAGGUUCGUUUUGUUAGUCGGUUAUGAUUCCUAGGACCUUAUGCUGUAAAAAAAAACUUAUUAGCACCAAAAUUAAAAGUGUUUGAUUAGAAAUAUUCCAUGAACUCAACUUCACUAGAGUACUAGUUUUACCCAUGUUCAAAGCCUUGAUCCAUAAAUCAAGAAAAAAAAGAGAGUUUUCAGUUAAUCAACUAAAAAUUCAUGAAAAAGUGUUACAACAAGCUUCAAAGUCGUCAUAAAACAUGGCAACACCUCGAACACCACUAGCCAACCUUGCUACCGGCACACAAUCUAUAUAUCAUUGUCAUGACAAAUCAUCACAUUCAAGCACAUGCUAAACAACCGGUCACUCGCGCCGACAACCAGCAAAUAUGAUUUCGAUGACAAGUGAAAGGGAGUAUGCAAGGCUUGUGUCCCACAACACCACCACAACGAAGAAGGAAGACACGGAGGCACAAUUGACACGUCGAAAGUCAGCCGUGCCCCAAGCAUAAAUUGUUUACCGUCAUUGUUGCCACACAAUUUAGCACCGUAAUAUGCCCGAGGAAGUCGCCUUGGCACCUCGGCGGCAAGUCAUGGCCUUGUCUCAUAAUCUGUCUCCAUGAUUUGACCAGCCAUCCAAACCCAUCAAUUACCAAAACUGAACUAAUUACAAAAGUAAUCAUAUUAACAUCACGUCAUGACUAUUAAUAAAAUUUCACCAACUAUGGAAAUCCUCGAUUAAUUACAAAUAAAUCCAGUAAAUUCAAAUUAGAGAUAAGUUUUCAUUAUUAGUCGAUACAUGCAUUGCACGGACACAAUGACUAAUGAAAUAGUGUGAGUGAGUCCUUUCAAUCUACAAAUCAAACGGCGACGCAUGAAUAUUUUCCAGGAAUUCUAAUUUUCCGGAUUUUGUAUGCAAUUUAUCCUUGAGUAAAUUUCGCAAAACCACAGUUUUUGGGAUAGUUGUCUCGCUGAAUCACAGUUAACGAAAAACCUUUUGCAGAACCACACUUUUUGAGUCAAGUUGUCUGAAACAAGGUGGUUUCGCGGUUUUACUUGAUUUUUUUACCCGUGGGGCCCACCUGUCAAACGCCACGCCGGCCCCGAAAACUUGCAGCAAUGAGAAGAGGGCUGGGGCUUUAAUCACGGGCUAACGGGUCAGGUCGGGUUGGGGCUGACGUGGCGUACAACAGGUGGACCCACAUGUAAGAAAUCAAGCAAAACCUUCAAAAGACUCGUUUUCGGGCUGACUGAGACAACUUGACUCAAAAUGUGUGGUUUUGUGAAUGGUUUUCCGUUAACUAUGGUUUAACGACACGACUGACACAAAAACCGUGGUUUUGUGAAAUUUACUUUCUCUUUUUUAGAAUAACCUGUAACUUUAUUCAAUCAUAAGAAACAUUACAGGUACAAUGCUUUGGAUCAUAAACUCUAGAAACUAUAAGGUAACUCCUAUAAUUAAGAACAAUGAAAUCUCUUAAAGACAUCUUCUCCGUGAUAUCAUACUUUGCAACAUGAAAUUUUGCUGAGGCUUCAACAUAGAGACUGCAAUCAGACUGUAGCAGCAACAUCGUUACUGGUAUCCAUGCACGAACUUUACUACCUUUGAAGGUUUCGAAAAGCCCCUUGAGUCGCUCAUCAAAAAAGAUGAGAAGCCUUGAGAGUUGAACGUACUUGGACCGGGGAUGAUCCCCUUAACGUGUAGGUCGUCGAACCACAAGAUCUUCAUCAGAACGCCAGAGAAGUAAUUCAAAAUUACAAAAGAUAAAACAACAAAAGCACCAUGACACACUAACAAAAACUCAAAGAUACGUAUAAAUGGAUCUGCGAGUACACAAACCCAAGAUCCACAAGAUCGGGUAUACUAAACUCACGGGGAUUAAAAAUCUCUGACUCCCCAGCAACGCCCAUUGAGGCACCACCACAGCAAAGGAAAAACUAGAGUACCUUUAUUCACGACGGCAUCAUAACCUUCGCCAUUGCGUUGCCGAUCAGAACCAAACAAUUGAAAUAGGCAAACACUUCUGUAUACUCUUAGGAGGAACUAAGGGGGACCUCGCAACGCCAAGCCGGCGGCCGGAGCGAGGGAAACACUAAAUCUUCAACCAUGACGGCUAGGGCAGAGCCCUCAUGGAAAACCUACGAGAUUGGAAGAUGGAAAACACCGAUUUGUGAAAUUUACUUUUUUUUAAGCGAAAGACACGGCUUUAUUAAUUCAAAAAUAUGGGUACAAUAUUGUUCUAGGGCUUAUCAAGCCACACAUGCCUGCCAUGCUGGAGCGAUAAAGAGCUCCUAACUAAACUAUGGGAAGCAUCACUAAAAAAUUAUUCAUGCUGGGCCAGUUAUUUGCUUUUGGUUCUGACUUCUUGGGCCAGGGUGGCGUGGCCUCCCUGCCCUUGCUUUAUUUUCAGCUCCUCUAUUCAAUCCUCAAUUGUUUCCUGUGCCGCACCAUGGCCUCCCAUGAUCUGCUGCCGCCGCUGAAGAAGAAGAAAUCCCCAACACUCGCGCCCACCACCAUUAGCAACCUCAGCAGCGACAUCCUUUGAGAUAUUCCUCCGCCUCCCCUCACAUGCAGCUCCUUCCUCGAUGCCGUCCGUUCGUCACCCUCCUUCUGCAGUCGCUUCCGCGUGCUCCAUUCACCUCCCCUACUCGGUUUCUUCAUCGAUACCACUGAAAAAGCUACACCUGACUUCUCUGCCCUCUGCCGGCAAUCCGAUCUGGACCUCGCGGCUGCCAUCCGCGGCACCGAUUUUUUUCCUCACCCGGCUACCGGACGACGACAAGGACGCCGUGCCCAAUUGGUCAAUUAGCGAUUGCCGCGAUGGAUGCGUCCUUCUCGUCAAUUGGAGCACAAAACAGAUGGCUGCCUACAAUCCCCUCACACGGGCCCUGGAUCUCUUCCCCACACCGCCCGACCAGCUUUGUGCUGGUGACCUGUAUGUUGAUUUCCAGAGACUCUCCUACGAAGAGGACCGUGGUUCGUUCUGCAUUCUGUGCAUCUGUCAACAGGUGUGGGGAGCGUGCGCCGUUGUCUUUGCAUCACACGCCAGGGAGUGGAAGGUUUUCCCAUGGUAUGUUGAUGACAAGGUCUGGCUUCAGAGUGGUACAUUGUUGAAUGGUUUUCUCUAUUGGACAGUUAAAGGCCGUGACGAUGGAAUUCUCUCAAAUUGAUCUGCCAUCCGUGAUUGAUCAUGGGCAAGAAGCGUUAGGGGUUUGUGAGACCAAGUAUUGAAAGCUCUGUAUGGUCCAAGUAAUUGUAUUGACUCUGGUUGUUUGGGUCUGGAGAGCUGAUGAACAAGGUGUCAAUAGAUGGAUACUGGACUAUGGAUUUCUGUUGAAGAAGAUUGUUGAGGCGGCUCAGUGUUCACUAGACGAUUAUGAUGAAGUGAAGAUUGUGGCAUUGUCAAUGGCUAUGUCUACUUGUCGACUUACCACUACCAGGUGACAAGUUCUUCCUGCUGGCUACUAUCUGUUUGCUUGGAAACAUCAGAGCUGGAUAAGCUCUGUCCUACUCGCGUUCGCCCUGGUGUUUCAUAUCCAUACAUCAUGGCGUGGCCUCCUUCACUGGUACGCAAUAAGGUGAACCCUCAACUUAACGAUGCUUGACUAGUAGGACUAAGAAAACUGUAACCAAGAAGUCAUAUUGUUGUUCUUUAACUUUAGUUAUUAAUAACUGAUGGCAUGCCAUGGUUCUAUAGAUGUAGUCCUAGUUAGAUUUACUCAUCUUUAGAAUAAAUCAAGAUAUCAAGGUGUUGUGGAAAUUGCAAGUCUUUUGUGUGUCAUAUUGAGCAUUUGAGCAUACUCCCUGCAUAUUGUAAGUGUCACAGGUUUAUGUGAAUUCUCAGCAUAAACUAAAAGGAUAACUAAUAUUUCUCGACCAAGAGCACUGGGCCACAGUUGCUAUUAUUCUGAAAGAAACUGAAUCAAAGUUUUGAACUGUUGAAUUAUAUGAAGCCAGCAAAAGACAGGAAGAAAAGAAAUAUGCAAUGCAUAUCAUGUAAGAGUUUCAUAAGUUCCAUAUAUCCGAAUAAGUAGAGUAACUUGAUCUGGCCCAUAGUUUCUUGCCAUUCGAUCCAAUGUUAUCGUCAUCCCAGCUUUGCAAUCCGUUCUUCUUUCAGCUCUAAAACGUUUUGGCUGAUUUUCCAAUGUUUGCCUUUUUCUCCGAAGGCCCUCAUUGGAACAAACAAAUCUACAUGAAGUCGUUUCACCAUCAAACUUGCUAACAUUUUUAUUUCUUUUUCUCACAUAAAACCCUGCACGACCCCCAUAGGCAACCCAAAACACCCAAGCUUCGUCUGGAUUUCUGAACCUCAUACCGACUUGGGUAUCCGUUUGUCAAUUUCUUCCAUUGCAAAACACUUGGGAGUGCAGAACACUCACAAUUGCAUAGCACAGCAAUCAAAUUCUGCAAAAUUGCGCACCACAACAUCCCAAUCAUCAAGAAUUUGCUCAAAUAGGCACACAUAAACAAAGUGCAUGACACAGCACCAAAAUCAGCAAACUAGGAAGAUGGUACCUUCUGUUCUUGGAGUCCUCCGACGCCCGGAGAUCGCUGGGCACUGUGGCGCAGGAGGCCGUCAGAGCGGGAAGGAGAGAGUCGCAGCGGGGGCGGAGGCGGAGGAGGCCGUCGCAGCGGAGGCGGCCGUCGGAGCAAGGGCGGAGGCGGCCGUCGCAGUCGGAGCGGGGCGGAGGCGGCCGUCGCAGCGGGGGUGGAGGCGGAGGACCGAGUGGCGGCUUGCUCUCCUCCCUCUCCCGCGCGGCGCAGCGGCGGCGGCGGCGGCGACGACGGGAGAGCGCGCGCGGGAGGCGACGUUUGGCGUGAGAAGCCGAGAACUCCCGCGAUGGAGUUUUUUCGACUGUGCAUUCGUUGACUCGGUAAAACAUGAGGUGCUCUGUUUCAAUUUCUGCCGGCCGGCCGAUUUAAAUGGGCGGUGGAUGCUGGCCGCGAGGCAACCCGUGCCUAGACAGAGCCAAGGUGCUGGAUCUCAGUCCGUCCGGUAGUCCCUGCCCUUGCUUUAUUCCAGCUCCUCAAUCUUCAACCAUUUUCUGUGCCGCAUCAUGGCCUCCCACGAACUGCCGCCACCGCCGAUGAAGAAAUCCCCAGCACUCGCCCCCACCACCAUUAGCGACCUCAGCGGCGACAUCCUAUGUGAGAUAUUCCUCCGCCUCCCCUCGCUCCCUAGCCUCAUCCGGGCCGCGCUCACUUGCAGCUCCUUCCUCGAUGCCGUCCGUUCGUCCCCCUCCUUCCGCCGUUGCUUCCGCGCGCUCCAUCCGCCUCCCCUGCUCGGUCUCUUCAUCGAUAUGUACGAAAGCGCCAUACCUGCCUUCUCGCCCCUCCGCCGCCGCUCCGAUGCAGACCUCGCCGCCGCCAUCCGUGGCGCCGAUUUCUUCCUCACCGGCCUACCGGACGAUGACAAGGACGCCGUACCCAAUUGGUCAAUUAUCGAUUGCCGUGAUGGAUGCGUCCUUCUCGUCAACUGGAGCACGGAACAGAUGGCCGCCUACAAUCCCCUCACACGGGCUCUGGAUCUCUUCCCCACGCCGCCCGCCCAGCUCUGCGAUGGUGACCUGUAUCUUGAGUUCCACAUCCUCUCCUACCAAGAGGACCGUGGGUCGUUCCGCAUUCUGUGCGUCUGUGAAGAGCAGUGGGGGGCGUGCGUCGUUGUCUUCUCAUCGGACGCCAGGGAGUGGCAGAUUUUCCCGUGGUAUGACGAUGACAUGGGCUGGCAUCACACUGGUAGGUGAAUGGUUUCGUCUAUUGGACAGAUGAAAGCCGAGACCAUGCACGUGUGCUGGACAUUGCAACACUGGAAUUCUCUCAAAUCGAUCUGCCGCAGCUGGUUUUUGAAGGGCAAGACGCGUUUAGGGUUGGUGAGGCCAAGAACGGAAAUCUCUGUAUGACCUCUUUGGUUCAAUUGAAUUUGUUUGUUUGGCUCUGGAGAGCUAAUGACCAAGGUGUUGAGACAUGGAUGCUGGACAAUGCAUUUGAAUUGAAGAAGAUUGCUGAGGCGGCCAAGUGUUCACUAGAGGAUAACAGUGCACUGAAGGUUGUGGCCAUUGUCGAUGGCUGUGUUUACUUGUCUACUUACCACGAGACACGCUAUGAUUCUCCUUGCUGUUACUAUCCUUCUGCUUGGAAACUUCGGAGCUGAAUAAGCUCUGUCCUACGCGCUUUCACCCGGUGUUUCAUAUCCCUACAUCAUGGCUUGGCCUCCUUCACUGGUACGCACCAAGGUGAACCCUCGACUUAACGGUGCUUGAAUAUGAGGGAAGAAGAAAAGUAUGACCAAGAAGUUAUAUACUCUAUGCCAUGAUUCUGUAGAUGUAAUCCUGGUUAGAUGUACUCAUCUUUAGAAUAAAUCAAGAUGCCAAGGUGUUGUGGGAAUUGCAAGUCAUUUUUGUGUGUCAUAUUGAGCAUAUUAAUAUUCAUUCUUCCAUUCCCUGCAUAUUGCAAGUAUCAAAAGACUUGCGGAUUUUCAGCAUAAACUAAAUGGAGUAACAGAUAUUUCUAGACCAAAGAGCACUAGGCCUCAGUUGCUAUUAUUCUGAAUGAAACUGAAUCGAAGUUUUAAACUGUUGAAUUAUUCGAAUCCAGCAAAAGAGACAAAGAAAAGAAAUACACGUAAGAGUUUCACAAGUUUCAUAUAUCCGAAUAAGUAGAGUAACGUGAUCUGGCCCAUUGGCUUCUCUUUGCCAUCGUUCUACAGCUUCCAGACAAAGAUUACUGAAGAUCAAUUUGCAUCAACCAUACUGUAACAGUUAGACCAGAAAUGAGCUUUUUCUUUGUCACUGUUUCUCUUGAUCACACGGGUGCAUUAAUAGGAACUGCAAAAGAGUUCCUCAGCACCACCGAAAUUACAGUGUUCAUACCUGGGCAUUAUCUUAUUUACGAUUUUUCAGAUUAUUGCCAGAUAAGAUGCUAUCAUGCAUAGAUAACUUAUAUAAUUGUUUAAGGUAACUAGGUCCCUGCAAGUUCUUGAAUGAGACUUUUUUUUCCCUAGAAUACAUUCAAGCGGAUGUAUCAUAUAUUGAAUGAGACUAAUGUGAGAGGUUAUCUCGUAGUGUCCAUGAUUCUUGAAUGAAAAGUUCAGGUGAAGACAUUGGAGAUUGUUGUAUCUGUUUGUUCUAGGCUACAACAUUAUUUCAAGGAAGCCUGCUAAAAAAAUCUAUUGCCCUCGCUUUCUUUGCCUGCUAGUGCUGCAGAACGAUUUUCCCCCUCUUUAUAGAUUGUGUAACUUUGCUUGAUACCAUUGAAGAAGGUGAUCUUAGAUAUGCAAGCUCAAUACUUGUUGUCAAGAUGCUCAGCAGCAUUGCUAGUACUGUCUGGGCAAAAGCCGACCCCGAGUUCAUCGUAAGCACAUAUGUAUUGGCAAAAAAAAUAAUGCACAAGUUUCUUCACCUCAAACAUAAUAGAUAGCCAAGGAAAUAUGAUGGUGCAGAUUCAUGUCAAAAGGUCUUGCUCAAUCAGUUCUGUAGUUCAACACACAUCAUAUCUGCAGGCAGUUCGACGAUUUGGUCGGCACCGGUGGGAUGGACCUCGGGCAUGUCAGAACUCAGAACCGAAGCGAAGUCGUCUCUCAGAAAGGCACGGGACAUGUCAAAAGGGAUUGAGCACCGGAGUGUUGGCAACCGCCACCUAUUCCAGGAUGACAUUGCCACUGAAGUCACUCUUUUUUUUGCCCAGGUCCGCCAUAGCCAGUCUAGUGUGCAGAUGCAAGAUGAGAACCAGAGAAGAGAAAAACGGAGCAAUUAUCGCAGGACUCACCAAAAGACACGAUCGACUAGGAAGAUGAUACUCCCUCUGUUCCAAAAAGAUUGGCACAGGAGGGAGUACCUUAUUUUCUGAUUAAUGACGCGGCAAUAGAUUAGAUACAGCAAAUCCGUUUUGCACUGGGACAUAAAUUAAUAACCCACUAGUAUCACACCUUAAAUUAACCCACAUAGAACACCGUUUUUCUAUGUAGGGGGUGUAAAAAUCUUAGCCGGUUUGCAAAAUAUAAGGCGCGCAGCGUCUUACCCGUCCACGCGCCCAGCGCGACCUGAAAAAUCACAGCAGGCAGUUUCCUAAUGGUUGCAUGCAUGCAUUAGAUUCACUUCUGCUGAGUAUUGAACGGUGCGAUUUUUUUUCUUUCAAAGUUCCAUGCGGCUCUCUGCUGCUGGUCAAAGGCAGUGAUCAAUGCAAAUAUAGCAGUUUUUGUCGAGGUUCUCCACCGACAACAAUGCUCGGUUAAAGCUAGAUCACAAGAUUUGAUUCUGGAAUUUGUAACAAAUAGUGCAAUAUUUUUAGUAUUUUUGUUUUACUUCACAAGCAGACAUCAAAGACAGGGCAGAUCUACAUUGACAAAUAACAGGGACAGCAAGUAAUCUCGCGAGCUAACAAAUAAGACAAGGAUAGAAGCAAAUUGUUUAGGUAUGGGAAAGAGUACAUAACAGGGCACAGACAAGUAUACUAUCACAGAAAUUUAAACCACAAUCACUAGUACAUAUUACACACAAUUCUCAGGAGAAAAGACUCAGUAGUUAACAAGAUCUCACACUGACAUUUAAACAAACAAGUUGCAGGUGCUCAAAAUCAGCACAAGUUCUCUCAAUUCAGUUCACACAAACAGCAAGCAACAGGGGGAAAAGGGAGAGAGAUUUAGAUGGGGAUUAACUCAGGAGAUGGGGCAGCAAGGAGUUGAGGAAGGGAAGAGGGUUGCAGUGGCGCUCGUGCUUGCCGGAGGUGCUUGUUCUUCAGUUGCUGCAGCAGCUUGAGGGUACGAGGAGGAGCAGCAGCUUGGAGACGAGGAGGAGCAGUAGUAGUGGAUCGGGAAGGGGCAGCAGCUACUUCGUCGGAGGCGCGCCGCCACGCUGGCCUGGCCGCGGCGGCGGCCGGUGGUGGAGAAGGAGGUCAGGGGAAGGAGAAGUGCCAGGCACCAAGGGGAUCGAGGGCAGAACUAGGGAUUUAAUCCCUUUGGCAAUUUUUGCAUCCAAGCCCUUCUCUUCUCUUCUUCUUUCGCAAGUUGGUCUUUUUUUUCUUCACUUCAGCCCUUUCUUUCUUCUUUCCUUAUGCUCAGGUCCUUCGGUGUAUAGGUGCAUCAGCAGCUCGUCCAAAAUGAGAAGAGUAUGUGCAUUUUCGCACUUAACUGCAAAAGAGAAGCG
rnacentral:lncRNA from 1 species